rnacentral:rRNA from 1 species
UACGUAGGUGACCAGCGUUGUCCGGAUUUACUGGGCGUAAAGAGCGCGCAGGCGGUCGUUCAAGUCGAGUGUGAAAGCCCCCGGCUUAACUGGGGAGGGUCAUUCGAUACUGCUCGGCUCGAAGACAGGAGAGGGAAGCGGAAUUCCCGGUGUAGUGGUGAAAUGCGUAGAUAUCGGGAGGAACACCAGUGGCGAAGGCGGCUUUCUGGCCUGUUCUUGACGCUGAGGCGCGAAAGCUAGGGGAGCAAACGGG